rnacentral:rRNA from 1 species
AGAGAGAGACAUGCGCGCAUAUCAAUAAGCGGAGGAAAAGAAACUAACAAGGAUUCCCCUAGUAACGGCGAGUGAAGCGGGAAGAGCUCAAAUUUGAAAUCUUAAAGGGUUUCCCUUUACGAAUUGUAGUUUAAAGAAGUGUUUUCUGUUGAGGUUUUGGUAAAAGUUCUUUGGAAUAGGACAUCAUAGAGGGUGAGAAUCCCGUAUUUGACCUUUACUUUCAACUUUGUGAUACACUUUCAAAGAGUCGGAUUGUUUGGGAAUGUAGUCCAAAAUGGGUGGUAAAUUUCAUCUAAAGCUAAAUAUUGGCGAGAGACCGAUAGCGAACAAGUACCGUGAGGGAAAGAUGAAAAGAACUUUGAAAAGAGAGUUAAACAGUACGUGAAAUUGUCAAAAGGGAAGCGUUUGACACCAGUGUUGUUUUUCUGAAAAUCAAUUAAAGAACUGUUUAUGCUAAGCUGUUUAGACUUUAUCAGCUAACUGUUUAGUUUUGAGCUUUUCUUUAAUGCACUUUUCAGUUAACAAGUCAACAUCAAUUUCUUUUGCUGUAAAAAAGCUUGAGGAAGGUGGCUUGAGAUUCGUCUUAAGUGUUUAUAGCCUCUUGCCUAUGCAGUCGGAGAGAUUGAGGUCUGCAGCGUAGAUCCUUCGGGGCUAAAUGCAUUUGUGCUAAGUUAUAGCAUUUUAUAGACAACUUGUUGACUAUGAUUUGUCUUGUAGCUUACUCGCUUAUGUUAUUUUACCUACGCUUAGGAUGUUGACGCAUGAGAUAUACGC